GUGCUCGCUUUGGCAGCACGUGAACUAACAGUGGAACGACACGGAGAUUAGCAUGGCCCCUGUGCAAGGACGACACUCACAUUGGUGAAGCGUUCCAUAAUUUU